rnacentral:tRNA from 1 species
GUGGUUAUAGCUCAGUGGUAGAGUGUACACUUAGCAUGGGCAAGGCCCUGGGUUUGAUUCUCAUCACUACC